CAGCCGCCGCGGUAAUACGUAGGGAGCAAGCGUUAUCCGGAUUUAUUGGGUGUAAAGGGUGCGUAGGCGGGGAAGCAAGUUGAAUGUGAAAUACCGUGGCUCAACCACGGGGCUGCGUUCAAAACUGUUUUUCUUGAGUACAGCAGAGGCAAGCGGAAUUCCCAGUGUAGCGGUAAUAUGCGUAGAUAUUGGGAGGAACACCGGUGGCGAAGGCGGCUUGCUGGGCUGCAACUGACGCUGAGGCACGAAAGUGUGGGGAGCAAACAGGAUUAGAUACCCUGGUAGUCCACACUGUAAACGAUGAUUACUAGGUGUGGGGAGAUUGACCCUCUCCGUGCCGCAGUUAACACAAUAAGUAAUCCACCUGAGUAGUACGGCCGCAAGGUUGAAACUCAAAGGAAUUGACGGGGGCCCGCACAAGCAGUGGAGUAUGUGGUUUAAUUCGACGCUACGCGAAGAACCUUACCAGGUCUUGACAUCCGACUAACGAAGCAGAGAUGCAUUAGGUGCCCUUCGGGGAAAGUCGAGACAGGAGGUGCAUGGCC
rnacentral:rRNA from 1 species